rnacentral:rRNA from 1 species
AUACGUAGGGGGCAAGCGUUAUCCGGAUUUACUGGGUGUAAAGGGAGCGUAGACGGUAAAGCAAGUCUGAAGUGAAAGCUCGUGGCUCAACCCCGGAACUGCUUUGGAAACUGUUUUACUGGAGUGCAGGAGAGGUAAGCGGAAUUCCUAGUGUAGCGGUGAAAUGCGUAGAUAUUAGGAGGAACACCAGAGGCGAAGGCGGCUUACUGGACUGUAACUGACGUUGAGGCUCGAAGGCGUGGGGAGCAAACAGGAUUAGAUACCCUGGUAGUCCACGCGGUAAACGAUGAUCACUAGGUGGCGGCGGCCAUAGGCGGUCGGUGCCGCAGCAAACGCAAUAAGUGAUCCACCUGGGGAGUACGUUCGCAAGAAUGAAACUCAAAGGAAUUGACGGGG